ensembl:snRNA U1 U1 spliceosomal RNA
AUAUUUAUCUGGCAGGGGAGACACCUUCAUCACAAAAGAGGUUCACCCAAGGCGAGGCUUGGCCAUUACACUCUGGUUGUGCUGACCCCUGCGAAAGAACAAUACAUUAAAUAAAUAACUACGAAAAGAC